CCUACGGGAGGCAGCAGUGAGGAAUAUUGGUCAAUGGGCGCGAGCCUGAACCAGCCAAGUCGCGUGAGGGAAGACGGUCCUAUGGAUUGUAAACCUCUUUUGUCGGGGAGCAAAAGACGCCACGCGUGGCGUUCCGAGAGUACCCGAAGAAAAAGCAUCGGCUAACUCCGUGCCAGCAGCCGCGGUAAUACGGAGGAUGCGAGCGUUGUCCGGAUUUAUUGGGUUUAAAGGGUGCGCAGGCGGAAGAUCAAGUCAGCGGUAAAAUUGAGAGGCUCAACCUCUUCGAGCCGUUGAAACUGGUUGUCUUGAGUGAGCGAGAGGGAUGCGGAAUGCGUGGGGUAGCGGUGAAAUGCAUAGAUAUCACGCAGAACUCCGAUUGCGAAGGCAGCAUACCGGCGCUCAACUGACGCUCAUGCACGAAAGUGUGGGUAUCGAACAGGAUUAGAUACCCCUGUAGUC
rnacentral:rRNA from 1 species